rnacentral:ribozyme from 1 species
AGCAAUAUUGCAUUGGUAAGGUAUGGAAACUUCUUGAAGGUCAACAAAGGCUUUCCAUACCCUACUUUGACUCAAUACGUCCCCGGCGGUAACAUGUAUUGCUAAAUAUCUGAGCUUGGUUAUAUGGGGAAAACCAACCCCUUGGAAAGAUGGGUGAUAUGGCUAAAUCAAGCGGA